AUUGACUUGAGAUUGAAAUCUUUUUAUUUUUCCUCACUUUUAGAAAGAGUUAUGAGCCAUGAAAUGACUAAAGAUGAAAUCAAAGUAGAGAAGAAAAAAAGGCAUAAAUAAUUCACACACAGUGUGGUCAACAUUUGAAUGAUUAAAAAACAUUUUAAAUAUAUCCCUCUAAUUAGUUGCUCUUUUAUUAUUUGUCUUUUAAGCAUUUCCUAGGUGUAAGGCCCUUUGCUGGGCUUGAUGGAAAGGAAGGGACAUUCCUGCUCUUAGAGAGCAGUAGCCAUCCAUAAUAACCAACUUGAAUAUGACAUCAAAAGUGAUGGGGGCACCACCAUGGAGGGCAGGGGAGGACGUGAUGUGACUCACAGAGCACCCAGCACUGGACUGGGUCAGAAGGACAUUGUCACUCUUCACUAGAAGAAAGGUUAACCCAAGAGGGUGAUCUUUAAAGUCUUCGAAUAAGUGAAAUACUUUUGGAAUUAGGACACAAAAUAAAACUUGUAACUGAAUCAUAGGUAGAGUGUCUGAAAGGGUGGAUUGAGUCAGGAAAGUCUAAAGUCAGAUCGCAUCUCUUAGGAAGAGCCCAGAAGAAUAUCUUUAACUUAGUUUGUAAAAGAUUGACUCAUCUAAGCAGAAUGAAUCUAUUUCCUUGCAGUAUUCAAAUAGGUGCAAAGAGAAAGGGAAGACAGUUGUUUCUAUAAGUAAAAUAUAAGUUUGUCUAAACAUAAAAUCUUAACAGAAACCUUUUUUGAAACUGAAGAAACCUUAUAUAAUGUAAAAAAAAAAAAAAAAAAAAAAAAGAUAAGGAGAGCCCCAAAGCAGAUAAAUGGAUUACAUAAAUUGUCAGUGUACGUUAAUGUGUUUAAUUGUUUGGGACAGCAUUUCUCCAACUUUCAUUGUCUGAAAAUCCUCCUCUGGUAAUAAGUUCUUUUUUUCUCAUUUAGGAAAAUUGUAGCUGAAUAUGAAAAGACUAUUGCUCAAAUGAUUGAAGAUGAACAAAGGACAAAUAUGACCUCCCAGAAGAGCUUCCAGCAACUAACCAUGGAGAAGGAACAGGCCCUGGCUGACCUUAACUCUGUGGAAAGGUCCCUUUCUGAUCUCUUCAGGAGAUAUGAGAACCUGAAAGGUGUUCUGGAAGGGUUCAAGAAGAAUGAAGAAGCCUUGAAGAAAUGUGCUCAGGAUUACUUAGCCAGAGUUAAACAAGAGGAGCAGCGAUACCAGGCCCUGAAAAUCCACGCAGAAGAAAAACUGGACAAAGCCAAUGAAGAGAUUGCUCAGGUUCGAACAAAAGCAAAGGCUGAGAGUGCAGCUCUCCAUGCUGGACUCCGGAAAGAGCAGAUGAAGGUGGAGUCCCUGGAAAGGGCCCUGCAGCAGAAGAACCAAGAAAUUGAAGAACUGACAAAAAUCUGUGAUGAGCUGAUUGCAAAGCUGGGAAAGACUGACUGAGACACUCCCCCUGUUAGCUCAACAGAUCUGCAUUUGGCUGCUUCUCUUGUGACCACAAUUAUCUUGCCUUAUCCAGGAAUAAUUGCCCCUUUGCAGAGAAAAAAAAAAAACUUAAAAAAAGCACAUGCCUACUGCUGCCUGUCCCGCUUUGCUGCCAAUGCAAGAGCCCUGGAAGAAACCCUAGAGGGUCGCAUAGUCUAGAAAGGAGUGUGACCUGACAGUGCUGGAGCCUCCCAGUUCCCCGUAUGAAGGUUCCCUUAGGCUGCUGAGUUUGGGUUUGUGAUUUCUUUAUCUUUAGUUCCUUUUAAAGUCAUCUUUACUUUCCCAAAUGUGUUAAAUUUGUAACUCCUCUUUGGGGUCUUCUCUACCACCUGUCUGAUUUUUUUGUGAUCUGUUUAAUCUUUUAAUUUUUUAAUAUCAGUGGUUUUAUUUAAGGAGACAGUUUGGCCUAUUGUUACUUCCAAUUUAUAAUCAAGAAAGGGCUCUGGGUCCCCUUUUAAAUUACACACACUCUCACACACAUACAUGUAUAUUUAUAGAUGCUGCUGCUCUUUUCCCUGAAGCAUAGUCAAGUGAGAACUUCUCUACAGAAGGACAUAUUUCCUUGGAUGUGAGACCCUAUUUUGAAAUAGAGUCCUGACUCAGAACACCAACUUAAGAAUUUGGGGGAUUAAAGAUGUGAAGACCACAGUCUUGGGUUUUCAUAUCUGGAGAAGACUAAUUUGCCAUGACGUUUUGUUGCCCUGGUAUUUGGACACUCCUUAGCUUUAAUGGGUGUGGCCCCUUCAGGGUUAGUCCUCAGACUGAUGGUAGUGUCUGCUUUCUGCAUGAACGGCAAUAUGGGACUCCCUCCAAGCUAGGGUUUGGCAAAUCUGCCCUAGAGUCAUUUAGUUUCCUCUGCCUCCAUUUGUUAAUACAGAACAUUUAGUCUUCAUUAUCUUUUUUUUUUGUUUGAGACAGAGUUUCGAUCUAUUUUAAAUAUGUGAAGAAAAUCUACUUGUAAAAGGCUCAGAUCUUAAUUAAAAGGUAAUUGUAGCACAUUACCAAUUAUAAGGUGAAGAAAUGUUUUUUUCCCAAGUGUGAUGCAUUGUUCUUCAGAUGUUGAAAAGAAAGCAAAAAAUACCUUCUAACUUAAGACAGAAUUUUUAACAAAAUGAGCAGUAAAAGUCACGUGAACCACUCCAAAAAUCAGUGCAUUUUGCAUAUUUUUAAACAAAGACAGCUUGAAUACUGAGAAGAGGAGUGCAAGGAGAAGGUCUGUACUAACAAAGUCAAAUUCCUCAAGCUCUUACUGGACUCAGUUCAGAGUGGUGGGCCAUUAACCCCAACAUGGAAUUUUUCCAUAUAAAUCUCAAUGAAUUCCCUUUCAUUUGAAUAGGCAAACCCAAAUCCAUUCAAGUGUUUUAAAGCACUCUCCUGUCUUAAUCUUACACCCUGAAAGUCUUCAUGGUGAUAUGCACUAUAUUCAGUAUAUGUAUGUUUUCCUACUUCUCUUGUAAAACUGUUGCAUGAUCCAACUUCAGCAAUGAAUUGUGCCUAGUGGAGAACCUCUAUAGAUCUUAAAAAAUGAAUUUUUCUUUAGUGUAUUACUCACGUGGGUGCAAUCUUUAGCCCCAGGGAGGUCAAUAAUGUCUUUUAAAGCCAGAAGUCACAUUUUACCAAUAUGCAUUUAUCAUAAUUGGUGCUUAGGCUGUAUUUUCAAGCCUAUUAUCUUAACAUUUUGUAUAAAAAAGAACAACAGAAAUUAUCUGUCAUUUGAGAAGUGGCUUGACAAUCAUUUGGGCUUUGAAAGCAGUCACUGUGGUGUAAAAUGAAUGCUGUCCUAGUGGUCAUAGUACCAAGGGCACGUGUCUCCCCUUGGUAUAACUGAUUUCCUUUUUAGUCCUCUACUGCUAAAGAAGUUAAUUUUGCAUUUUGCAGAAAGAAACAUUGAUUGCUAAAUCUUUUUGCUGCUGUGUUUUGGUGUUUUCAUGUUUACUUGUUUUAUAUUGAUCUGUUUUAAGUAUGAGAGGCUUAUAGUGGCCUCCACUGUAAAUCCAUAGUCAUCUUUUUAAGCUUAUUGUGUUUAAGAAAGUAGCUAUGUGUUAAACAGAAGUGACGGCAGCCCUUCCCUAGCACACUGGUGGAAGAGACCCCUUGAGAACCUGACCCCAGUGAAUGAAGCUGAUGCACAGGGAGCACCAAAGGACCUUCGUUAAGUGAUACUUGCCCUGGCCUCUCAGCCAUGACUGUUAUGAGGAAAUAUCCCCCAUUCUAACUUAACAGAUAUCUCCUCUCCAAAGAGAAUUAAAAUCGUAGCUUGUACAGAUCAAGAGAAUAUACUGGGCAGAAUGAAGUAUGUUUGUUUAUUUUUCUUUAAAAAUAAAGGGUUUUGGAACUCUGGAGAGUAAGAAUAUAGUAUAGAGUUUGCCUCAACACAUGUGAGGGCCAAAUAACGUGCUAGCUAGGCAGUAAUAAACUGUGUUACAGAAGAGAAAAAGGGCCGGGCACAGUGGCUUAUUCCUGUAAUCUCAACACUGUGGAAGGCCAAGGCAGGAGGAUCACUUGAGUCCAGGAGUUUGAAACCUACCUAGGCAACAUGACGAAACCUCGUCUCUACCAAAAAUAUAAAAAUUAGCUGGGCAUGGUGGCAUGUGCCUGUGCCCAGCUACUUGGGAGGCUGAGGUGGGAGGAUCGCUUGAGCCUGGGAGGUCAAGGCUGCAGUGAGCCAUGAUCAUGCCACUGUACUCCAUCCUGGGUGACAGCAAGAUCUUGUCUCAAAAAAACAAACAAACAACCAGGAGUGAAAAAGGAAAGUAGAAGGCAACUGUUGGCCUAGAUGGUGGUUUGGGAAUAUUAGGUGAUCCUGUUGAGAUUCUGGAUCCAGAGCAAUUUCUUUAGCUUUUGACUUUGCCAAAGUGUAGAUAGCCUUUAUCCAGCAGUAUUUUAAUUGGGGAAUGCAACGUGAGGCCAGCUGAACAAUUCCCCCCGUGGCUGCCCAGAUAGUCACAGUCAAGGUUGGAGAGUCUCCUUCCAGCCAGUGACCUACCCAAACCUUUUGUUCUGUAAAACUGCUCUGGAAAUACCAGGAAGCCCCGUUUUCUCACGUGGUUUCUAGCUUCUUCAGACUCAGCCCAAGUUAGGAAGUGCAGAAGCACAUGAUGGUGAAAAAUCUAGGAUUUGGCAGCCUUCCAGAAUGGUAUGGAAUCUGAGGGAAGAUUUAUGUUUCGUUUUGGAGGAUAGCUCAAGUUGAAUUUUCUUUCCAGCCAGUUACCCUUUCAACCUACCCAUACUUUGUACAACUCUCACACAAAUACUUAGAUAUUUAUUAGACAGCCCUGAAUUCGCUCUAAUUAUAAACAGGGAGAGUAAACUGCCCCCAAAUGUUCCUGGGCUGGGUAAAAGCAGCUGGAGUGAAGCAUUCAUUUUCCAUAAAGGUAACAAAGGGCGGCUCAGUAGUUACUCAAGCUCAAAAGGGUUUUUUAAGAGCAGGCAUUGGUUAAGUCUGUGUAUACUGAGUUGGAAGUGAUUUCAGCACAUUCUUUUUUAGUGGAGUAAAAGUUCUGAAGCCCCUUUUUAACUUCUUUUGGUUUUUCAUUAUAAUUGGUAGCCAUCUCAUGAACUGUCUCUGACUGUUGUCUCUUUGCGGUCAUGUGAUUGUGAGCUUGCUCUCUGACUUGCAUUUCUGACUUUAUCCUAUUGUUGGGAAGAUAGAAACUAGGUUUUGAAAGAUUACAUGAUUCAAGCGAGGGAUUUUAAAGUAAAGAUGUAUGUAUUCUGAAGAAUCUAAAAGAUAACAGAUUAUUUGCUUAUGAAGGAACAAUACAGUCUGGGAAUCCCAGAAUGUCAAGCCAAAGGUCUAAGAAGUCAUCUUCAAAUACUUUAAUAAAGAAGUAUUUCGAGGAGAUAUCUGUCCAAAAAGGUUUGACUGGCCUCCAGAUUACAGUUAUUUUUAAAAAGCAAUUUACCACUAAAUCCUUGAGUCUCCAUAGAGUAACAGUAAAGAAACUGAUGUAACAGACUCUCCUCUCAAAGGAUCUCCUCUGGAAGAGAGUAUCAGCAGCAGCAUUCUCCAGGGAAGACCCAUUCCCUAGUGCCAGAGCUUGCAUCCUGGAGACUAAAGAUUGCACUUUUCGUAGUUUUUCGUCCAAAUGCAAUCCCAUUUCUGUGCCUCUUAGCAUGCAGUUAGAUUUGGACAAACAAGAUUCCUAAGGAAUGACUUUAUUAACUAUAAUAUGGUUACAGCUAUUAUAUAAAUAUAUAUUCUGGUUAUAGUUCUAAUAUGGAGAUGUUGCGUGCAAUGCUGGCCCGUGGUGGUCUGUGUAAUGCUUUAACUUGUAUGGAGGAGGCCAGGCUCAGAGCUGAGAUGUGGCCUGAACCUUCCCUGUAUCGAUCCUUUAAUUUAGAACUGUCAAGUUGCCACUUUCUCCCCUUCUGCCUUUUAGUGGUAUCUGAAAUAUACACAAAACAGUAAUUUCCUGGUCACAUCAUUAACUGCUAAUUCUGUAUUUAUAAAGAAUUUUCAGAUGGACAUGUACAAAUUUGAACUCAAACCAUCCCCAGUCCAGAUACAGGGCAGCGUGUAGGUGACCACACCAGAGCCUCAGCCUCGGUCCUUCUCAGCUGUCGAGAUAGGAUCCAGGCAUUUCUUUUAAAUCUCAGAGGUAGCAGUAAACUUUUCAGUAUUGCUGUUAGCAAGUGUGUGUUUGCCGAUAGAUAUCCAUUAUACUAAUGUGCCAAGUAAAUGUUCAUUGCACAUCUGCUUCCACUGUGUCCCCACGGGUGCCAUGAAGUGUGUGAGGAGCCCCUCAUCUGGAGGGAUGAGCGCUGCGUUGACUACUGCUAUCAGGAUUGUGUUGUGUGGAAUAUUCAUCUACAUAAAUUUUAUAUGCACAGUAAUUUCCCUUUUUAUAUGUCAAGUAACUAUUUGUAAAAGUUAUACUCACAAAUUAUUAUAAUGAUUACUAAUAUAUUUUUUCCAUGUUUCAUUGCCUGAAUAAAAACUGUUUACCACUGUUA
rnacentral:sRNA from 1 species